CCUUUGGUCGCUGAGUAUGUCAAGGCCUUGUACCACAAUCCAUAUAACAUGUCUAUAGUCCAGAUUAGUAUGCCCAUUGUGGCUCCUGGACUCAGCCUUGCUAUUUUUCCACCUCCACCACCACCUGCUCCUCCGGCUCCGGCUCCCUCUCCCAUGAAUGCUGCAAAAGCUCCAGGUCCUGGACCAGCUGAUGAAGACAAUGCCUCAGAUACUGAUGUUCCAAAACAUACACCUGCAACAGAAACAGCGGAGGUUGAUUCUCCAGCUCCUACUCCAAGCGCAGAUAAUGAGAAGAUUGAAGCUGCUGAUAAGGCUGGGACAUCCUCUUCUGCUUGUAAGGCAAGUUUGAGAUUUGAUGUUGUUCUCUUGCUACUAUUGUUUGCUAGCUUUGCUGGUUUAUAAGUUUGGAAUUAAAUAGGUGAUGGGGUUUGAUGACAAUAAUGGUAGAUGAGUAAAAACAUUUCUUCUGUAGUUUUUCACCGUUUGAAGUGUAACAUAAACGCAUGCAAAUGUGUGUUUGUCCUGUUGAAUUUGUAACAGAGUUCUAAGUGUGUUCUAACAUAGUUUAACCAAUGCAAAGAAUAGCAAAACAAGGCCUGAUCACAACAACAAAUAAACACUUCAGCAUCGGUUUGGUUGAAGCAACGAGAAGAAUCAAACUAGCCUUACAAAUACCAGUUAAUCUCCCAAACUAAACAAAUCAACAAGCCAAUCAUGCAUUGGAAAAUAACGAGACUGCACUUACAGCGCUCAUACCGAAACAAUAAGGUGAAGGUAACAAAUCUGAAAUUGCUCUAGAAAUUGUCUUUUAUGGAAUCCUACUUGAUUAGACUGAAGCCAAGGUAGAAACAAAGGACAUAUCCGGCACAAGAAGAGCCUACUAUUUGCAGUCUGUAGCAGUCUCUCAUUUAAUCUUGUUUAUGAUGUCCUCGAUGACUUCUUCCAUAUCAAGAGCCUUCAUUGGAGCAAAUGGACGUUUCAUCUCCUACAUAAUAAUGAGAUAAAACACAACCUUAAUGUCUACUCACAGUAACUAACAUAAAGAGUUGCUUAAAACUGAUCCAGAGUUGAUUUUCAUUCGCAUAUGCAUACAAAAAACAAGCUGUGAUAUGAGAAUUAGUACUACAAAUAAAACCUCACUCAAACGGAACAAGUUAUACACCAUACAGAAAGGUGAGAGAAAUAGAGAUUUGUUUUUCUUUAUAAGAAACGAAAGCAUUACCAAAAGACUAAUGAAUGUUUCGCCACCUUCCUCCCGGAUCUCAAAGCAACCCCGCCUUGGCUGUUCAAAAGAAAGAAAAAAUUACGCCAAGGAGAAGAUUUGUUACCAAGCACAAUGUGAACAAUCAUGGUUUAACACAGCUCUGAAUGGUGAGCAUAUUCAACUACAGUAAAAGAAUAACCUUUUCAGGAUUCAGAGUCACCGUGACGACAGGAACAGCUCCUUCCAGACCUUCCUUCACCUGAAUGGCCCUUGUCUUGAAAGCAUUGCAUUGUUUACUUCAAUAACAUAGAAAAGAAGACAUAAGAACCAGAAGCAACUCCUGUUUCUCUCCCAUUUGCACAAGAGAAUGAAGCCAAACCACCUCUAGUGAGAGAAAAAGAAAGUAAAAUGGGCAAAUAGAGGGGCUGGAUACGGACGGGAACCAACUAAGCUGCAGAGAGUAACGUAUUUUCUAUGCACAUAAUUUUACUUUUAUCUUUUACUGGGGCAGCUGCCCCCUCCUCAUUAGAUCCGCCCCUGAGUACUACAGUACUGGAAACGUUCUAAUGUUCGAGACCAAAUUAGCCAGCAGCGUACUACUAACACAUGUGCUAUAUGCCUGCAGAAAUUAUCCGACGAAGUUGCUGCACAUAUGGGGUUGGUAUGUGGCCAUGUUUAUCACAAAGAAUGUCUCCUUGAAUGGUUCUGGAGGAAAAAUGACUGUUCUAUGUGCAGAGAGGCCCUGCCCUGACUGUGAGAUAUCAACUUCUUAUCACGAGAAAACUAGUUUAUGUAUUUCCUAAUGUUUUCUGGAUAAGUCACUGUUUUCUUCUUCCUUGGUUGCUUUUUGAGGUAAUCAAUCAUCUGAUUUUCUAUUUGAGUUUAUGCUUCAGUUCUUCAACUUCAUUAUAUUUUGUUGAGAUUGUGAACUCAGUCUACUCUGCAUCUUGGAGUAAGCAUUUUGCAGACGUUAUUCACUCAAUGUUAAACUGUAAUGUGAUUUGUGUUUCUAAAAGAUAGUUUUACUAGCAUUGCUAUUUUCUAUAGAUAGGAAAAUGGAAAUAGUAAACUUAUCUAAAACUAUUCAGAACCUAUCCAUAUGUUUCCUAAUUCGCAUAGGAAACAUAUAUCCAGUAUUCCUUCCUCCUUUGGAGGAUGGAUAUUGUUAAUACCUAGCUUGAGAAGAAAUACAUUGAAUUCUUUGUGUCCUAUAUCUUUUGCCAAGAUAUCCACAAAGCUGAUCAUGUAUACAGAGAAUGAGAGAAAACUGCUCUCUGCUUUCAUCAACUACAGCUAGCACUGGCAAGACUUCUGUUAUGCCUAUUUAAAAGAGAGAUGUUGGUGUUGAUUAUACGGCAAUUGUGAAGAUCGGUUGUUAAACUUCCUCCUCAGGUAAAGUUGUAAUAAUAUUCUUGAUGAACAAACACACAAGUUGAAUGCAAGUUUAGGACUCUUAACGAUGAAUAAAGGUUUGGAAUAAGCAAAGUGACGGUUAUAGCUUUAUCAUCCCGUACAUAUAGUUUAUCACAUAAAGGAAAAUCUAUUUUCUGGCGACAAUUCAAGAACUUGAAAGCUUCAAAUGAUUACCUGUAUCAUCUUCAAUCCUUCUUUCCUUAUAAUAAAAAGUUUCUUUUGGGGAAUUUAUCGCUUGCUCCAUGUGGUCAAGAAUUUGAAGAUGGGCUUGACGUCCAUACUUUAUAGCUUCACCAAUGACAUCUAACGAGAGUAGAGUUGACUUUGCAUCCAACUGAAUUGCUGUUAUACCAUUUCGUGUACCAGCAAUUUUGAAAUCCAUUUCUCCCAAGUCAUUUUCUAAACCCUGAAAAAAUAAGUUAUCUCUAUGAACUCAACUCAACCAGAAAAAAAAUUGUAUCUAUGAGUUUCAUCUAACCUCUAAAUUAAUCACUACAUAAAUUGAAGAAAAAAGUAAACCAACUUACCGAUGUAUCAGUUAUUAUACGGUAGUUCUCUAGCUGUCCGUUGGAUGUCUCAUCUGCCAAUUCGAAUAAUUGGUACAAAGCUGCAACUUUUUAAUAUUCGUGUUAUAUAUGUAAAAGACCAUAUACUUAGAACAUAGGUUCGACAAGAAAAACGUUUGAUUCAAUAUUAGAUAAAAUACCGAGAAGAAUAUAAUAUAUUUUACGUUUUUGGAUGAUAAUAUACCUAAGUGACUAAUACAUGUGGCAUUAGCCAUACACACUGAAAUUCGUGUAUGUUAAUUUCUCCAUCUAACGUUGAUCUAUUAAACACAUAAGUUAUAGCAUUAAAUCAUAAAAAAAAUAGUGUAUUCUCUUUCACAAGAAAAUAAAACGAUGCUUCAAAAUUUUAAAGUUUACAAAUCGAGAUGAGUCUUGAAGAAUGGUUUUAUGAAAUUUCUUUCUAAAAUUAAAUUUAUCUUCAAUAGAAAAAUAUUAAUUAUGAGCUUUAAAGCCGAUAUUCUUAGUAAACCACUACACUUGGACUUUCUACCACAACAUAUAAAACCUCAAGACUGCACUACAUAAAUAACUAAAACCAACGUAAAAACAAAACACACAUGUUGAAGCCUAAACUAUCUAACGGCCAAGUCUUAUUACACACUAAAAAUAGAAAAGUGGACUUAGCUCACAGUUCAGAUUUAGCACCAAAAAAGAGAGUAAAUCUCUCCUUUAAACCAUUCUUCUACAACCUCCUCACAUCUUCUACAUAAAUACCAAACGUGUGAAGCCAUUUAGGUUUAGCUUUUCACUAGAACACACAAGAUGGGUCUCAAUGCCUCCCUUUGUCUCUUCUCCCUCACCUUCUUACUCGUAUUUUUCUCUACGGCCAUUACAGCAGAUAACAUCACACAAGCUUUUGAGAAAUACUCCAACUUCAGCACCAUGAAUGAUCUCUUGAUCAAAACCAAGCUCAAUAUACCCAUAAGCAAAUACCUGACCAUAACCUUACUUGCUGUUAGCAAUGAAGCCAUCACCCCUAUCAUUAACAGAUCCGACGUUGAGCUCAAGAACAUUCUCAUGAACCAUGUCAUUCUUGAUUACUACGAUGAGAUGAAGUUUAAUGGAAUGAAGGAGAAGAGCAUAAUGCUCACUACCUUAUACCAAACAACCGGUUUAGGUGAAGAGAUGAAUGGUUUCCUCAACUGUACCAAAUCUAAAGGAAGAGUUUACUUUGGUUCAGGUGUGAAGGGCUCACCUUUGGUCGCUGAGUAUGUCAAGGCAUUGUACCACAAUCCAUAUAACAUGUCUAUAGUCCAGAUUAGUAUGCCCAUUGUGGCUCCUGGACUCAGCCUUGCUAUUUUUCCACCUCCACCACCACCUGCUCCUCCGGCUCCGGCUCCCUCUCCCAUGAAUGCUGCAAAAGCUCCAGGUCCUGGACCAGCUGAUGAAGACAAUGCCUCAGAUACUGAUGUUCCAAAACAUACACCUGCAACAGAAACAGCGGAGGUUGAUUCUCCAGCUCCUACUCCAAGCGCAGAUAAUGAGAAGAUUGAAGCUGCUGAUAAGGCUGGGACAUCCUCUUCUGCUUGUAAGGCAAGUUUGAGAUUUG
rnacentral:lncRNA from 1 species